ACGUAUUUAGUAAUAUCACUCGUCCGAUCACCGAAGUUAAGCAAUGUUGGGCCCGGUCAGUACUUGGGAGGGUGACCACCUGGGAACACCGAGUGCUGUAGGGU